GACAGAGGGUGCAAACGUUGUUCGGAAUUACUGGGCGUAAAGCGUGUGUAGGCUGCCCCGCAAGUCUGUUGUGAAAGCCCCGGGCUCAACCUGGGAAUGGCAAUGGAUACUGGCAGGCUAGAGUGCGGUAGAGGGUAGUGGAAUUCCCGGUGUAGCGGUGAAAUGCGUAGAGAUCGGGAGGAACACCAGUGGCGAAGGCGGCCACCUGGACCAGCACUGACACUGAGGCACGAAAGCGUGGGGAGCAAACAGG
rnacentral:rRNA from 1 species